GUGAUAGUCUACGCAGCACUA
rnacentral:siRNA from 1 species